CAUUACCGAGUUUACAACUCCCAAACCCCUGUGAACAUACCUUAAUGUUGCCUCGGCGGAUCAGCCCGCGCCCCGUAAAACGGGACGGCCCGCCAGAGGACCCAAACUCUAAUGUUUCUUAUUGUAACUUCUGAGUAAAACAAACAAAUAAAUCAAAACUUUCAACAACGGAUCUCUUGGUUCUGGCAUCGAUGAAGAACGCAGCAAAAUGCGAUAAGUAAUGUGAAUUGCAGAAUUCAGUGAAUCAUCGAAUCUUUGAACGCACAUUGCGCCCGCUGGUAUUCCGGCGGGCAUGCCUGUUCGAGCGUCAUUUCAACCCUCAAGCCCUCGGGUUUGGUGUUGGGGAUCGGCUCUGCCUUCUGGCGGUGCCGCCCCCGAAAUACAUUGGCGGUCUCGCUGCAGCCUCCAUUGCGUAGUAGCUAACACCUCGCAACUGGAACGCGGCGCGGCCAUGCCGUAAAACCCCAACUUCUGAAUGUUGACCUCGGAUCAGGUAGGAAUACCCGCUGAACUUAAGCAUAUC
rnacentral:rRNA from 1 species